rnacentral:ribozyme from 1 species
UGCCCAGCAAAUCUUAUCCCUACCUCCUUGCGGUACUUGUCGGGGUACGAGUAACCUUAGAGAUGAUCGGGUAACCAACCCUUUGGGAACUUUGGUCGUAUGCUGACAGGGUAGG